rnacentral:rRNA from 1 species
GAUGAACGCUGGCGGCGUGCUUAACACAUGCAAGUCGAACGGUGAAGCAGGAGCUUGCUCUUGUGGAUCAGUGGCGAACGGGUGAGUAACACGUGAGCAACCUGCCCCUGACUCUGGGAUAAGCGCUGGAAACGGCGUCUAAUACGGGAUAUGUGAUGUGACCGCAUGGUCUGCAUCUGGAAAGAAUUUCGGUUGGGGAUGGGCUCGAGGCCUAUCAGCUUGUUGGUGAGGUAAUGGCUCACCAAGGCGUCGACGGGUAGCCGGCCUGAGAGGGUGACCGGCCACACUGGGGCUGAGACACGGCCCAGACUCCUACGGGAGGCAGCAGUGGGGAAUAUUGCACAAUGGGCGGAAGCCUGAUGCAGCAACGCCGCGUGAGGGAUGACGGCCUUCGGGUUGUAAACCUCUUUUAGCAGGGAAGAAGCGAAAGUGACGGUACCUGCAGAAAAAGCACCGGCUAACUACGUGCCAGCCGCCGCCGUAA